AUACGUAGGUGGCAAGCGUUGUCCGGAAUUAUUGGGCGUAAAGCGCGCGCAGGUGGUUCCUUAAGUCUGAUGUGAAAGCCCCCGGCUCAACCGGGGAGGGUCAUUGGAAACUGGGGAACUUGAGUGCAGAAGAGGAUAGUGGAAUUCCAAGUGUAGCGGUGAAAUGCGUAGAGAUUUGGAGGAACACCAGUGGCGAAGGCGACUGUCUGGUCUGUAACUGACACUGAGGCGCGAAAGCGUGGGGAGCAAACAGGAUGAGAUACCCUGGUAGUCCACGCCGUAAACGAUGAGUGCUAAGUGUUGGGGGGUUUCCGCCCCUCAGUGCUGCAGCUAACGCAUUAAGCACUCCGCCUGGGGAGUACGGUCGCAAGACUGAAACUCAAAUGAAUUGACGGGG
rnacentral:rRNA from 1 species